AUGAACGCUGGCGGCGUGCCUAAUACAUGCAAGUCGAGCGCACGGACGAGAAGCUUGCUUCUCUGAUGUUAGCGGCGGACGGGUGAGUAACACGUGGAUAACCUACCUAUAAGACUGGGAUAACUUCGGGAAACCGUAGCUAAUACCGGAUAAUAUUUUGAACCGCAUGGUUCAAAAGUGAAAGACGGUCUUGCUGUCACUUAUAGAUGGAUCCGCGCUGCAUUAGCUAGUUGGUAAGGUAACGGCUUACCAAGGCAACGAUGCAUAGCCGACCUGAGAGGGUGAUCGGCCACACUGGAACUGAGACACGGUCCAGACUCCUACGGGAGGCAGCAGUAGGGAAUCUUCCGCAAUGGGCGAAAGCCUGACGGAGCAACGCCACGUGAGUGAUGAAGGUCUUCGGAUCGUAAAACUCUGUUAUUAGGGAAGAACAUAUGUGUAAGUAACUGUGCACAUCUUGACGGUACCUAAUCAGAAAGCCACGGCUAACUACGUG
rnacentral:rRNA from 1 species